GGCUGCCACAGCCUCUGCCUGUCACAUUGUGUGGCAGACAGCAGCGCCGGCAACAUGAAGAGGCACAAGUUCAGACUACGCUUGUGACAGGGUCAAGGACAGCCCCUCCCACCCUUCCAUUUCCUCAUUAAGCCCCUCCUACCCUGCUCUUUCCCCAUUACUUCUCCCCACUGCCCUGUCAAUCAGUUUGACAGACAGACAGCAGCGCCACUGCCACCCCUCCCCCUCCCCCUUCCCUCCCUCAGUCUCACUCUCUGAAGACACUGCAAUCUGCAGCCUCCUAUCCCCUCCCCUCUACUUCUCUCCCCUCACAGGAGUGGAGAGUAAUGGCGUCCAGCAGAAGAGGAGCCCAUGCAGAGAGAGGAGGGCCAUCAAGAAACGAAGAAACAGAGUGGAAAAGAUAGAAGAAGCACACAGCUCCAGAGAAAAGGUAUUGUCGCACAGUGAGGAUCUUCUUAUGCUGUACGAUUGCAGUCAAGUGAGGUUUCCAUGGUGAUGGGCUUUGAUCUUUCAGUGCGCUGACGGCACUAUCACAUCAUUUCCGCUUUCUUGUCCGGAAGUCUGGGUCCGGACUAUCUGUACAACAUACACGUGGGUGUUCUAUAAAGAUGGUUGGUUGGACAGACUGACAGAUGAAAAGCUGCAAACACGUAGUAAUGAACAUUCCAUAUGGACAAUCUUGGACCAUUCUUCUCUGGUGCUUAGACUGUGGAUUGGGAAUAUAUUUGAGGGCUGUAUAAGAUUACAGGUCUCUUAUACUUGAAGUUUUUACCUUAAUAAACCUGCA